rnacentral:misc_RNA from 1 species
CAUUGAUCAAGACGCCAAAAAAGACCUUCCCAACUAACUGUAACAUAACUUUAAUCAGAAAUCAAAAUUCAUCAAACACGAUAGACCCACAUACACAAUUUAAUUUUCAAUUUAUAGCAUACUACAAGAGCCCACUGUUCCGGCAACAAGAACCAUUAAAUUAAGCUCUAAUCCCAAAUUUAGCCAAAUCCAGUUGCACAAAGAGAUCCAAAUAAAAAACCUUUGUAUCCAAAACCCCACAACCAAAACUAAGGAGCUGAAGAGUCAAUGACAAUGAAACAAAUGAAUCGACGCUUAAGGUGUGGGGUUUCAGUAGGGAGAUUAGUGUUCAAUUUUGG